rnacentral:rRNA from 1 species
GACAGAGGGUGCAAACGUUGUUCGGAAUUACUGGGCGUAAAGCGCGUGUAGGCGGCUAUGCAAGUCGGAUGUGAAAGCCCUCGGCUCAACCGGGGAAGUGCACCCGAAACUGCAAGCUAGAGUCUCGGAGAGGAUCGUGGAAUUCUCGGUGUAGAGGUGAAAUUCGUAGAUAUCGUAAGGAAGACCAGUGGCGAAGGCGGGUC